UACGUAGGGGGGCUAGCGUUGUCCGGAAUCAUUGGGCGUAAAGAGCGUGUAGGCGGCCCGGUAAGUCCGCUGUGAAAGUCGGGGGCUCAACCCUCGAAUGCCGGUGGAUACUGUCGGGCUAGAGUGCGGAAGAGGCGAGUGGAAGUUCCUGGUGUAGCGGUGAAAUGCGCAGAUAUCUGGAGGAACACCGGUGGCGAAGGCGGCAUCCCUGGACCAAUUCUGACGCUGAGGAGCGAAAGCCAGGGGAGCAAACGGG
rnacentral:rRNA from 1 species